AUGAGAAAGUUCCUCAAUAUGCUGCAAAGACAUGUCCCCAGAAGUGAUCAAUAUUUCCAAUUAUCUAUCUUGUAACAAAUAAGAUGAUAAAUGUUAAGAAAGGAUUUGAUGCCAACAAAAGGAAAAAAGAAAACAUAAUUCUUAUCUAGAUUUUAUUCACAUGUGGUGAUGCGAUUUAAAUUUUUGUAUUUGCUUCCAUUAAAUUACCAUGAUAAUAUCAAAACAAAAAUAAAGAAACCUCUCAAACACAUAAGGAAAAGUAUAUGCUCUGCUUUCAUCUGAACAUAUGAAAACCUAGAACAACCUACAACAGUACCUUUUCAUGAGGGCCAUCAAUGGU
rnacentral:misc_RNA from 1 species